rnacentral:lncRNA from 1 species
CAGCUUGCCUGCUGUCAUAGAGGAAGCCUGCAGCAGCUUCAGAAGGUGAAUUGUGACACCUUCCACAGCUCAGCUCAGCUCCUCACCUCCAAGGUUUCCCUCCACAGUGUGUGUGAGAGGGAACUUUGUGUCACAGCAUCCCUAGUCUGAAAGGAGACAUCUGUCGUAACAUUCUUGGAAGCUUAUAUUUAUGUCAUCAUUCCGACCACGAUGCUUGUUGUGCUACCAACCACUGCGUUCUUUGUCUUCUUUACAGGAGGCAGUCUAAAGAAGGAAAUUUAGUGGAAAGAUUUGUUAUAAUCCUAUAGAGACGGUAAACAGGACUCCCAUACUUGCUUC